AUGGCGGCCACUGAAAUAGCUAGGCAAGCGGGAGAAGGUGCUCGCGCCGUCCCUCUCGCCGGCCAUGUCGGUUUCGACAGCAUGCCUGACCAGCUGGUCAACAAGUCUGUCAACCACGGCUUUUGCUUCAACAUCCUCUGCAUUGGGGAGACGGGCCUGGGCAAGUCCACUCUCAUGGACACCCUGUUCAACACCAAGUUCGAGGGCGAACCCACCCAGCACAACCAGCCGGGCGUGCAGCUCAAGUCCAACACCUACGAGCUCCAGGAGAGCAAUGUGCGCCUCAAGCUGACCGUGGUCAACACUGUGGGCUUUGGAGACCAGAUCAACAAAGAGGACAGCUACAAGUCUAUUGUGGAGUUUAUCGACACCCAGUUUGAGGCCUAUCUGCAGGAGGAGCUGAAAAUCAAGCGCACGUUACACAGCUACCAUGACACACGCAUCCAUGCCUGUCUGUACUUCAUCGCGCCCACCGGACACUCCCUCAAGUCCCUGGACCUGGUCACUAUGAAGAAACUGGACAGCAAGGUCAACAUCAUCCCCAUCAUCGCCAAAUCAGACGCCAUCUCCAAAAGCGAGCUGACCAAGUUCAAGAUCAAGAUCACCAGUGAGCUGGUCAGCAAUGGUGUUCUGAUCUACCAAUUCCCCAUCGACGAUGAGACGGUGGCAGAGAUCAACUCCACCAUGAACGCCCAUUUGCCGUUUGCCGUGGUGGGAAGCACGGAGGAAGUGAAGAUCGGCAACAAGAUGGUGAAAGCGCGGCAGUACCCCUGGGGGACGGUACAGGUGGAGAAUGAAAACCACUGUGACUUUGUGAAGCUGAGAGAGAUGCUAAUCAGGGUGAACAUGGAGGAUCUUAGAGAGCAGACUCACACCAGACACUAUGAGCUCUACCGUCGCUGCAAGCUGGAGGAGAUGGGCUUCAAGGACACAGACCCCGACUGCAAACCCUUCAGUCUGCAGGAGACGUACGAGGCCAAGAGGAACGAGUUCAUGGGAGAGCUGCAGAAGAAAGAGGAAGAGAUGAGGCAGAUGUUCGUCCAGAGAGUCAAGGAAAAGGAGGCUGAGCUGAAGGAGGCCGAGAAAGAGCUGCACGAGAAGUUUGACCGGCUCAAGAAGCUGCACCAGGAUGAGAAGAAGAAGCUGGAAGACAAGAAGAAAUCCCUGGAUGACGAGCUCAACGGGUUCAAGCAGAAAAAGAUGGCCGCUGAGCUCCUACAGUCCCAGGCUCUGCAGGCAGGGGGCUCCACCACACUCAAGAGGGACAAGGAGAGGAAAAACUGAUGUGAGCCCUGUCACCGGCCCCGUUAGAAAGAAAGAAGACACUUGCACUGAGAAAGCUUCUUUUAAUCUGUCUUGCCCACCUGUCUGAAGAGGGGAUUGCAGCUUCAACGAGAACUAAGCACCCGUUUCCUCUUCCUGUCUUUUCUCUCUGCGUCAACCUUUUUUAACUUCUAUCUCAUCUGCUUUGUUGACCAUGGCCUAAUGUGGGCUUCACAUGGUAUUUUUUGGAUAGUUUACGUUUUGUCACCUAAUCAAGGUAUACUUUGGCUAGUGGGAGUCCUUCACACUUAAUAUUUUGCAGCUCCGUCUUGGUGUAUGAAUGAACAAAGCUUUGCUCAGGUAGGAUUCUAAACGGUUGUUCAAGAGAAACACAUCUAAUCAAUAGUUUCAUUCUACCAAUUGUAACAGAGCCAAGGCUCUGGAUUAAUUUAUAUUUUUCACAAAACUAUCUGAAUUUCAUUGACAGUUAAUUUUAAGGAAGUCUUUAUGUAAUAACAUUCAAUCAUAUAUUACAUCCAUUUUGAGAAGGGCUUAUUCUGUUUGAAAUAACCGAUACUAUUACAAAUAACCUAUAUGAUUAAUGUGCUCCUCAUUCAAAGGGGGAGUUAGUUUUGAAUACAAAUAGCAUAACCCAGAUCUCAAUAAAACACUGAUAAAACCAAAAUACAUUCAUUUGGUGAUUGAUAGAGCAAAGUGUGACAUCUAACCUUACAUGUGUGACUAGUAGAUACUUUUGUCAGUUAAAAAACAAAAGACAACUGCGAUCCAAAACAGUGUUAUUUAUGUUCACUGCAUAGGUUGUUUCAUUGCAACUUAGAAGAGCCAGAGCCGUAUUCAUGUCAAGCACUUAUUUAGUGAAAACACUUUUUCCGUUCUGAAAUACCAUGUAGGUCACAUUUAAUGCCCCUUACACAUUGUGCUUUAACUACCAUCACCCUAUUCUGUAUUUUGCAUGUCUAAUGCUCUUUUAUUUCAUCACUUCUGUGAUCUUGACCUUUUGCUCCCAUAGCUGUUUUCUCACCUAACAGUUCCGUCUUGCACUAUUUCACAUUUGGUGCUCUAUAUUGUUUGGAUCAGUUUUAUCUUGUGUAUUACUCCUUGUUAUACCCUUCUCCACAAUUUUCAGCAUCCAUAUUGCCAAAUAUUACAAUGAGAUGGAGUUGAAUCCUAGGUACAGAUGGAAAUAUUUGUAUAAUUUAUAAGGAUAUAUUUUGUGUAUUGGAAGUGGAGACCUGUUUAUGAGAUAUGAUCUUUGGAUGUGACUCUUCUCUCUGUGUAGUUACAUUUUGGUGUAAGAAAUUGUCAUACAUUUUUCUAGCAUCUGCCAUAAUCACCCCUCCUAGUGAAUUAUCUGUCCACACCACAAAUGAAUUAUGAAAUAUUUUAUUGUAGUUUCAUUCCAUUGAUGUACUUUUUCAAUAAAAUUAUGAAAAUAAAGUGUGCAUUUGUUUUGUUAA